GACGAACGCUGGCGGCGUGCUUAACACAUGCAAGUCGAACGGAAAGGCCCUGCUUUUGUGGGGUGCUCGAGUGGCGAACGGGUGAGUAACACGUGAGUAACCUGCCCUUGACUUUGGGAUAACUUCGGGAAACUGGGGCUAAUACCGGAUAGGAGCUCCUGCUGCAUGGUGGGGGUUGGAAAGUUUCGGCGGUUGGGGAUGGACUCGCGGCUUAUCAGCUUGUUGGUGGGGUAGUGGCUUACCAAGGCUUUGACGGGUAGCCGGCCUGAGAGGGUGACCGGCCACAUUGGGACUGAGAUACGGCCCAGACUCCUACGGGAGGCAGCAGUGGGGAAUAUUGCACAAUGGGCGGAAGCCUGAUGCAGCAACGCCGCGUGCGGGAUGAAGGCCUUCGGGUUGUAAACCGCUUUCGCCUGUGACGAAGCGUGAGUGACGGUAAUGGGUAAAGAAGCACCGGCUAACUACGUG
rnacentral:rRNA from 1 species